CCUGGUGGCUCAGAGGUCAAAGCGUCUGCCUGCAAUGCAGGUUACCUGGGUUCAAUCCUUGGGUCAGGA
rnacentral:tRNA from 1 species